rnacentral:piRNA from 1 species
UGUUGUUCCACCUGUAGGAUUGCAGAU